rnacentral:ribozyme from 12 species
AAAAAAAAAAAAAAAAAAAAAAAAAAAAACAAGGAGAGACGCGGAACUUUUCUUUCACAUUUUCUUCCACAUUUCUCCCACACUUCUUCCCAUUUCUCC